UUGCUAUCCCACAAUCCCCUUCAGAAAAUGGCGGUGUCCACCGAAAAUGCGCAGUGUGCGCAGUAUAUGUGCUCCGUUUGCCACACAAUUGCGAAUUCUCUGCAGGAAAUAAGCGCCCAUUUGUGCAGUAGCACUACGGACACGCCUGAAAGGCCUCGGAGGCCUCUUUCCCCACUACACGAUUGAUGCUGCGAUUUUACAGGACAGCCCCAAGACUCAGCGCCAGUGCUGUGGCACAACAAGUCCACGCUUGCAUUGAUCCAUGCUGUUGAAUCACGCAUGCGCCAGUUUGACGUUGCACCCACAAAAAAAGAGGUGUGGAAGGACAUAGCCAGUGAACUGGCAAACAUUGGAAUCAUCGCAACAUGGGAACAGUGUGACACAAAGUGGAAAACGCUGAAGAAGAAGUACAAAUCCAUCAAGGACCAUAACAAAAGAUCAGGAAAUUCCCCGAA